GACGAACCGAGCGAACGUUGUUCGGAAUCACUGGGCUUAAAGGGCGCGUAGGCGGGUGCUCAAGUCUGUGGUGAAAUCCUCCAGCUUAACUGGAGAACUGCCAUGGAUACUGGGUGUCUCGAGGAAGAUAGGGGUAUGCGGAACGAUUGGUGGAGCGGUGAAAUGCGCAGAUAUCAGGAGGAACACCGGUGGCGAAGGCGGUUCUCUGGGAAUAUCCUGACGCUGAGGAGCGAAAGUGUGGGGGAGCGAACAGG
rnacentral:rRNA from 1 species